rnacentral:rRNA from 1 species
UGGGCAACCUGCCCUGUACUGGGGAAUAAUCAUUGGAAACGAUGACUAAUACCGCAUGUGGUCCUCGGAAGGCAUCUUCUGAGGAAGAAAGGAUUUAUUCGGUACAGGAUGGGCCCGCAUCUGAUUAGCUAGUUGGUGAGAUAACAGCCCACCAAGGCGACGAUCAGUAGCCGACCUGAGAGGGCGAUCGGCCACAUUGGGACUGAGACACAGCCCAA